rnacentral:rRNA from 1 species
GACGAACGCUGGCGGCGUGCUUAACACAUGCAAGUCGAACGAUGAAGCGGUGCUUGCACCGUGGUUUAGUGGCGAACGGGUGAGUAAUACGUGAGUGACCUACCUUUGACUCUGGGAUAAGCCUGGGAAACUGGGUCUAAUACCGGAUACGACCAAUCUCUGCUUGGGUGUUGGUGGAAAGCGUUCUGGAGUGGUUUUAGAUGGGCUCACGGCCUAUCAGCUUGUUGGUGAGGUAAUGGCUUACCAAGGCGACGACGGGUAGCCGGCCUGAGAGGGUGACCGGCCAAACUGGGACUGAGACACGGCCAAGACUCCUACGGGAGGCAGAAGUGGGGAAUAUUGCACAAUGGGCGCAAGCCUAAUGCAGCGACGCCGCGUGAGGGAUGACGGCCUUCGGGUUGUAAACCUCUGUUAGCAUCGAAGAAGCGAAAGUGACGGUAGGUGCAGAGAAAGCGCCGGCUAACUACGUG